rfam:Loxodonta africana unplaced genomic scaffold scaffold_0, whole genome shotgun sequence.
GCAGUGGUAGUUUAGUGGUAGAAUUCAUGCCUUCCAUGCUGGACACCCAAGUUCAAUUCCCUGCCAAUGCA